rnacentral:rRNA from 1 species
UACGGAGGGUGCAAGCGUUGUCCGGAUUAUUGGGUUUAAAGGGUGCGUAGGCGGCCAUUUAAGUCUGGGGUGAAAGCCCGUUGCUCAACAACGGAACUGCCCUGGAAACUGGAUGGCUUGAGUACAGACGAGGGUGGCGGAAUGGAUGCUGUAGCGGUGAAAUGCAUAGAUAGCAUCCAGAACCCCGAUUGCGAACAGCUGCCCGUAGACU